rnacentral:lncRNA from 1 species
CCACAUCCGUCCGUCUGCCUAUGGCACCUCCUGGAGACCCAGCACCAUGUAACCAUCAUUCAUUUGCAUGUGGAUCCAUCUGUCACCCAAAUCUGCUGGGCUGCUUGUCCUCAGUCUGGAGCUGUUGCAGAGCCCUCUCUGCCUGGGGCUGUCUCAAAGAUGCCAGCCCUCAUGUCACUUGGUAAAAUGGCGUGGGAGCUCAGAAGCUGGCUCUGUGGAAGGAGAGCUGAAUUAGACAGAGGGGACUUGGCUUUGCCUCGGUGGUUAUAGAAGCCCCAGCUGGAAACACAUGGAAUCUCUGAAGUUCAACUGAACCCUUGGAGCUGUCUCAAAUGGAAGACUCUUGAUUCUCAAAAGAACUAUGAGAUUUAAGUUGUGGGGAAUGGAUGGGGGCAUUGGGAAGAACACACCUAUGGUCAAGAUUCCCCAAGGUUGAUUAACUGGUUAGAACUGUGG